rnacentral:rRNA from 1 species
UGACCCUAAUGUCCGAUAGGAGAAGAUUGCUGGAAUGCUUUUUCUCUCAAGUUAGGAUAGGGCUGCGGUCGAUUAGGUUGUUGGCGGGGUAAUGGCCCACCAAGCCGAUGAUCGGUAAGGGCUCUUAGCGGAGAAGCCCUGAGAGGGGAUCUGAGACACUAUCCCCAGCCUUACGGGGUGCAGCAGUCGGGAAACUUCUGCAAUGUACGAAAGUAUGACAGAGCAAGCCAGAGUGCUGUUCUUUUUGAACAGCUUUUGUGAGAUGCAAAAAGUCUCACGAAUAAGGACUGGGCAAGACUGGUGCCAGCCGCCGCGGUAAUCCCAGCAGUCCAGGUAGCAGCCGCUUUUAUUGGGUCUAAAACAUCCGUAGCUUGCUUCGUAAGUCUCUUGUGAAAUCCGGCAUCUUAAGUGUCGGUCGUGCAGGAGAAACUGCGUUGCUAGAGACCGGGAGACGUGAAGAGUACGCAUCGGGUAGCGGUUAAAUGCGUUGAUCCAAUGUGGACUAACGAUAGCGAAGGCACUUCACGAGAACGGAUCUGACAGUGAGGGAUGAAGGCCAGGGGCGCAAAAGGGAUUAGAUACCCCUGUAGUCCUGGCAGUAAACCCUGCACACUAAACAUCGG